AAACCUUUUCUGGAAGAAUAAGUGCCUACUUUGCUUCUGAUUGGGUCAGUGGGAAAUGGAAUAUUUGGCAGUGAACUGUCACACAGGAUUAAAGGCAAGAAACAAAGAGAAAAGACAAAAGUGUCUGCUUUUGAACAAGACUUUGAGAGAGCCCUUUGGGUAAAGGACUGUUGGCAGAGAUGCUGACAAUCUUGUGCAAGAACAGCAGACAGUCUCCUUCAGGCAGCAGAUACCCAACUGGAGCGAGGGGCAUGGAAAGGAGAACAUGACAGCAGGAAGACUUGGCCCUGGAGGCCACAAAAGGUACAUCAUGAGAAGGCAGGGUUCUUUGCAAGAGAUAAUAAUGGUGGGAAAAACAGAAGGCUGCAG